rnacentral:rRNA from 1 species
ACGAACCGUGCAAACGUUAUUCGGAAUCAUUGGGCUUAAAGGGCGCGUAGGCGGCGGUGUAAGUUGGAAGUGAAAUCCCAUCGGCUCAACCGUGGAAUUGCUCCCAGUACUGCAUCGCUCGAGGGGGAUAGGGGUUUGCGGAACUACCGGUGGAGCGGUGAAAUGUGUUGAUAUCGGUGGGAACGCCAGUGGCGAAAGCGGCAAACUUGACCCUUCCUGACGCUGAGGCGCGAAAGCUAGGGGAGCAAACGG